ACGGAAUAGAUACCCAGGUAGUCCACGCCGUAAACUAUGGAUGCUAGCUGUUAUAGGUAUCGACCCCUGUAGUAGCGAAAGCUAACGCGUUAAGCAUCCCGCCUGUGGAGUACGAGCGCAAGCUUAAAACAUAAAGGAAUUGACGGGGACCCGCACAAGCGGUGGAGCGUGUUGUUUAAUUCGAUGGUAAGCGAAGAACCUUACCCAGGUUUGACAUCCCGAGAAGGACUUCGAAAGAAGUUUGUGCCUUUUGGAACUCGGUGACAGGUGCUGCAUGGCCGUCGUCAGCUCGUGUCGUGAGAUGUUUGGUUAAGUCCAUCAACGAGCGCAACCCUUAUAGUCUGUUGUAUUUCUCAGGCUAGACUGCCCUGGCAACAGGGAGGAAGGGGGGGAUGAUGUCAGGUCAGUAUUGCCCUUACACCUGGGGCUACAAACACGCUACAAUGGCCGGUACAAAGGGCUGCCAAAGCGCAAGCUGGAGCAAAUCCCAUCAAAGCCGGUCUCAGUUCGGAUUGCAGGCUGAAACUCG
rnacentral:rRNA from 1 species